CAAGUCGAACGCGAAAGUCCCCUUCGGGGGGCGAGUAGAGUGGCGCACGGGUGAGUAACACGUAGGUAAUCUACCUUUGGAUUGGGAAUAACAACCGGAAACGGUUGCUAAUACCGAAUAAUGCAGCGGCACCUAAUGGUGACAGUUGUUAAAGCGGGGGAUCGCAAGACCUCGCGUCUGAAGAGGAGCCUGCGGCGGAUUAGCUAGUUGGUAAGGUAACGGCUUACCAAGGCGAUGAUCCGUAGCCGGCCUGAGAGGGCGGUCGGCCACACUGACACUGACAUACGGGUCAGACUCCUACGGGAGGCAGCAGUCGGGAAUUUUGGGCAAUGGGCGAAAGCCUGACCCAGCAACGCCGCGUGAAGGAUGAAAUCCUUCGGGAUGUAAACUUCGCAAGAACAGGAAGAAUAAGUAAGAGUUAAUAUCUCUUAUGAUGACGGUACUGUUUGUAAGCUCCGGCUAACUCCGUGCCAGCAGCCGCGGUAAUACGGGGGGAGCAAGCGUUGUUCGGAUUUACUGGGCGUAAAGGGCGCGUAGGCGGCCUCCGCAAGUCGACUGUGAAAUCUCCGGGCUUAACCCGGAACGGUCAGCCGAUACUGCGGGGCUAGAGUGCAGAAGGGGCAACUGGAAUUCUCGGUGUAGCGGUGAAAUGCGUAGAUAUCGAGAGGAACACCUGCGGCGAAGGCGGGUUGCUGGGCUGACACUGACGCUGAUGCGCGAAAGCUAGGGGAGCGAACGGGAUUAGAUACCCCGGUAGUCCUAGCCUUAAACGAUGAAUGCUUGGUGUCUGGGGUUUUAUAGUCCCCGGGU
rnacentral:rRNA from 1 species